UGGUGGAGUGAUUUGUCUGGUUAACGCGUAGUUUCGGUUACGUGGGAAACCUUAGAGGGGCUUUGCGUGUCUGACGCAAGGAAGUUUGAGGCAAUAACA
rnacentral:rRNA from 1 species